rnacentral:rRNA from 1 species
AGGCGCGAAAACUGCACAAUGUGGGAAACCACGAUGCGGGAAACCCAAGUGCCAGCGCUAUGCGUUGGCUGUCCUCCAGUGUUCGUAACUGGGGAAGAAAGUGCUGGGUAAGACGGGUGCCAGCCGCCGCGGUAAUACCCGCAGCACAAGUGGUGGUCAUUAUUAUUGGGCCUAAAGCGUCCGUAGCUGGCCUGUUAGAUGCCUGGGUAAAUCGAUGCGCUCAACGCAUCGAAUUCCGGGUAGACCGGCAGGCUUGGGACCGGGAGAGGUGUAAGCUACUCGGGGGGUAGGGGUAAAAUCCUGUAAUCCUCCGGGGAGGACCAGUGGCGAAGGCGCUACACUAGAACGGCUCCGACAGUGAGGGACGAAGCCCUGGGGCGCAAACCGGAUUAGAUACCCGGGUAGUCCAGGGUGUAAACGCUGCAGACUUGGUGUCGCUGAUCCUACGAGGGUGGCGGUGCCGUAGAGAAGUGUUUAGUCUGCCGCC